rnacentral:rRNA from 1 species
GCGGUGGAGCAUGUGGUUUAAUUCGAAGCAACGCGAAGACCUUACCAGGUCUUGACAUCCCGAUGCUAUUUCUAGAGAUAGAAAGUUACUUCGGUACAUCGGUGACAGGUGGUGCAUGGUUGUCGUCAGCUCGUGUCGUGAGAUGUUGGGUUAAGUCCCGCAACGAGCGCAAUCCCUAUUGUUAGUUGCCAUCAUUCAGUUGGGCACUCUAGCGAGACUGCCGGUAAUAAACCGGAGGAAGGUGGGGAUGACGUCAAAUCAUCAUGCCCCUUAUGACCUGGGCUACACACGUGCUACAAUGGUUGGUACAACGGGUUGCCAACCCGCGAGGGGGAGCCAAUCCCAUAAAGCCAGUCGUAGUCCGGAUCGCAGUCUGCAACUCGACUGCGUGAAGUCGGAAUCGCUAGUAAUCGUGGAUCAGCAUGUCACGGUGAAUACGUUCCCGGGUCUU